UACGUAGGGUGCGAGCGUUGUCCGGAAUUACUGGGCGUAAAGAGCUCGUAGGUGGUUUGUCGCGUCGUCUGUGAAAUUCCGGGGCUUAACUCCGGGCGUGCAGGCGAUACGGGCUGACUUGAGUGCUGUAGGGGAGACUGGAAUUCCUGGUGUAGCGGUGAAAUGCGCAGAUAUCAGGAGGAACACCGAUGGCGAAGGCAGGUCUCUGGGCAGUUACUGACGCUGAGGAGCGAAAGCAUGGGUAGCGAACAGG
rnacentral:rRNA from 1 species